AAAACGGAGAGUUUGAUCCUGGCUCAGGAUGAACGCUGGCGGUAUGCUUAACACAUGCAAGUCGAACGGUCUCUUCGGAGAUAGUGGCGGACGGGUGAGUAACGCGUGAGAA
rnacentral:rRNA from 1 species